CGUGCCUAAUACAUGCAAGUCGAGCGCAGGAAAUCGACGGAACCACUUCGGUGGUGAGCGGCGAACGGGUGAGUAACACGUAGGUGAUCUGCCCAUCAGACGGGGACAACGAUUGGAAACGAUCGCUAAUACCGGAUAGGACGAAAGUUUAAAGGUGCUUCUGGCACCGCUGAUGGAUGAGCCUGCGGCGCAUUAGCUAGUUGGUAGGGUAAAGGCCUACCAAGGCGACGAUGCGUAGCCGACCUGAGAGGGUGAACGGCCACACUGGGACUGAGACACGGCCCAGACUCCUACGGGAGGCAGCAGUAGGGAAUCUCCGGCAAUGGGCGAAAGCCUGACCGAGCAACGCCGCGUGAAUGAUGAAGGCCUUCGGGUUGUAAAAUUCUGUUAUAAGGGAAGAACGACUUUAGUAGGAAAUGGCUAGAGUGUGACGGUACCUUAUGAGAAAGCCACGGCUAACUACGUGCCAGCAGCCGCGGUAA
rnacentral:rRNA from 1 species